GGAUGCUUAGCUCAGUCGGUAGAGCAGCUGACUCUUAAUCAGCGGGUCGAGGGUUCGAGCCCCUCAGCAUCUACCA
rnacentral:tRNA from 1 species